rnacentral:rRNA from 1 species
AUGACCCAGAAGACGCCAUCGACAGCCAGGUUGGAGUCGACCCACGUCUCUGACGGCUUCUGCGCCCCCCAGUUUGAGCUCCCAGAGCCCCUGACAGGGAAAAUCUGGACACUGGAUGACUUCGAGGCCAGCCCUGCUUUGCUGGUUAUGUUCAUAUGCAAUCACUGUCCGUUUGUAAAACAUCUGAAAAAUGAUAUUGCUAAGCUCACUUCAUUUUACAUCGAGAAAGGACUUGCUUCUAUCGCCAUAUCCUCAAAUUCAAUUGUCACAUAUCCCAAGGAUGGUCCCGAGUACAUGGCUGAGGAGGCAAAAUUGUUUAAGUACUCUUUUCCUUAUUUGUAUGAUGAGUCCCAAGAAGUUGCUAAGGCUUUUCGAGCAGUUUGCACACCAGAGUUCUACUUGUUCAAAAAGGAUGAGCAAAGGAAAUUUGAACUUUUUUACCACGGGCAGUUUGAUGAUUCAAGACCCAGUAACAAUGUGCCAGUCACUGGAAGGGAUUUAAGCCGUGCAAUCGACUGUGUACUUAGUGGCCAAGAAUUGCCUUUCUACCAAAAACGAAGUGUCGAGUGCAGCAUCAAGUGGCACAAGUGA